AUACGGAGGGUGCGAGCGUUACUCGGAAUCACUGGGCGUAAAGCGCGCGCAGGCGGUCUUUUAAGUUGGAUGUGAAAGCCUACGGCUCAACCGUAGAACUGCAUCCAAAACUAUUAGACUAGAGUGUGCGAGAGGAAGAUGGAAUUAGUUGUGUAGGGGUAAAAUCCGUAGAGAUAACUAGGAAUACCAAAAGCGAAGGCAAUCUUCUGGAACACUACUGACACUGAGGCGCGAAAGCGUGGGGAGCAAACAAGAUUAGAUACCCAGUAGUCC
rnacentral:rRNA from 1 species